rnacentral:rRNA from 1 species
GACGAACGCUGGCGGCGUGCUUAACACAUGCAAGUCGAACGGAAAGGCCCUGCUUUUGUGGGGUGCUCGAGUGGCGAACGGGUGAGUAACACGGGAGUAACCUGCGCUGGACGUUGGGAUAACUUCAGGAAACUGGGGCUAAUACCGGAUAGGAGCUCCUGCUGCAUGGUGGGGGUUGGAAAGUUUCGGCGGUUGGGGAUGGACUCGCGGCUUAUCAGCUUGUGGGGGGGGUAGUGGCUUACCAAGGAUUUGACGGGUAGCCGGCCUGAGAGGGUGACCGGCCACAUUGGGACUGCGGUACGGCCCAGACUCCUACGGGAGGCAGCAGUGGGGAAUAUUGAACAAUGGGCGGAAGCCUGAUGCAGCAACGCCGCGUGCGGGAUGACGGCCUUCGGGUUGUAAACCGCUUUAGCCUGUGACGAAGCGUGAGUGACGGUAAUGGGUAAAGAAGCACCGGCUAACUACGUG